UGGGGAAUAUUGCACAAUGGGCGCAAGCCUGAUGCAGCCAUGCCGCGUGUGUGAAGAAGGCCUUCGGGUUGUAAAGCACUUUCAGCGGGGAGGAAGGCGAUAAGGUUAAUAACCUUGUCGAUUGACGUUACCCGCAGAAGAAGCACCGGCUAACUCCGUGCCAGCAGCCGCGGUAAUACGGAGGGUGCAAGCGUUAAUCGGAAUUACUGGGCGUAAAGCGCACGCAGGCGGUUGAUUGAGUCAGAUGUGAAAUCCCCGGGCUUAACCCGGGAAUUGCAUCUGAUACUGGUCAGCUAGAGUCUUGUAGAGGGGGGUAGAAUUCCAUGUGUAGCGGUGAAAUGCGUAGAGAUGUGGAGGAAUACCGGUGGCGAAGGCGGCCCCCUGGACAAAGACUGACGCUAAGGUGCGAAAGCGUGGGGAGCAAACAGG
rnacentral:rRNA from 1 species